rnacentral:tRNA from 1 species
GCGCGGGUGCUGGAAUUGGUAGACAGUCGUGACUUAAAAUCACGUGCCCAAAAGGCGUGCGGGUUCGAUUCCCGCCCCGCGCACCA